ACGAGGCUUUUGAGGUGCUCAAGAGGAGGACGAGCAACAAUCCUAACCAACGUUUACCGAAAGUGGAGAUAUUGCGGAACGCUAUCGAGUAUAUCGAGAGUCUCGAGGCGCUAUUACAAGGAAAUAGACCUUCCGGACAUCAGGAUCAUCCUUCUGCCGAGAGCAUAGUUUCGAGCAAGCUGAGGCAUUAUCUUCGCAAAAUAACGGAAGCAGCUUGGACUGUCUCAGUAUGAUCGUGCAAAGCAUCAAUGGGCCGUUGCAGCCGUCGUCCGAGAGUCAUUAUUCGUCACAUCACUGAAUUUGUACAAUAACGAGACUUAAUCCUUGCGGAUCGGUCUCUUUCCUUAGCCGUUACGGCGGCAAUGUGUGCCAUUUGAUAUUUCAUGUGAAUGCGCGCACACAGCCAAAAACCUGACUGCCUCUCUCAGAAUAAUUCUACCAUAUUACGCGGGGUGAUCCAAAAUUCGUGCAAAAGGUGUGCUUUCAGAGAUUUGCGAUUAAGCAUUGUGGAAAAUAGAUAAUAUCGUAUCAUUAUUGGAUUUAUCGUAAUUACUAAACAUAUAAAAAAUAAAUAAAUAACGAAUAUAUUUCUAAAUUUAAAGAAAUCCUUUAGUGAAGAAGUACGUGAUUUUUGAAACACCAUGUAAACGACAUGCCAAGUGAACUCGCACUUUUUUUUUUUAUCGGAAAAACGGGAAUUACAAACAUUGCGAGCGUUUUAAUAAAUCCAGGAUGUUCGAUGAAAGCGCACAAACAUAGGUUUCCGAUUGUCAUCGAUAAAUUUUAUAGGAAAUAUCGAAAGCACCGUGGAGUCAAAUAUUUUAAAAGAGAAUCUUAACCUUCAUACGCUAACAUAACUUGAGAUGUUAUAGUUGAUACAGAAUGGUUGAGCAGAAAAUUAUAGCA